rnacentral:rRNA from 1 species
AUGAGGGGCGCCGCCACCAUAGGGAAGAAGGACUCCAUUCCCAUCGGGGACUACGCGCACGGCGACCCCAUCUUCAGCAGACAUGGCAUUCAGCACAUCAAGCCGUUCGUCCAGCGCGACAUGCUCCUGGUCGAGAACCAGCUGCCCCUCAGGCUGCUCGAGAAGAUCGUCGCCGCGGAGACCGGCACAUUUCCGAGGGCGGCUUGGAUAAACUCCAUGGUGCUCAAGUUCCUGGAAAGGGAAGAUGGCUUCACCGACAAGCUGGGACUCCACCCUCUCGACAUCUAUCGGACGAGCCGGCUAAAAAAAAAGUCUCAGACAAAAUACAGAGGCAUAGAUGACGCCGUUGAUCGUCCGCAGAGAGUGGUGCCCCGAUCCGCGUGGAAGCUAUCGGAGGCGGGAAUCCGGUUCCUGCCCAACAAGACGGCCGGGCUGCCUCGACGACAUCGACCUGGACAACGGGAGGCUCUACAUGCCAAAGGUCGUGCUGGACGACUCCACCGCCUACAGGAUCCACAACAUGAUGGCGUUCGAGGCAAUGCACAUCGGCACCGGCAACGACAUGACAGCGUACAUGUUGUUCAUCAAGGACCUCGUCGACUCUGUCGACGACGUGCGCCUACUGGAGAGGAAGGGGAUCCUGGAGCAUGA